rnacentral:rRNA from 1 species
UACAGAGGUCCCGAGCGUUGUUCGGAUUCAUUGGGCGUAAGGGGUGCGUAGGCGGCGGGGCAAGUCUGAUGUGAAAUCCCGGGGCUCAACCCCGGAACUGCAUUGGAUACUGCUUUGCUAGAGUACUGGAGAGGGAACUGGAAUUUACGGUGUAGCAGUGAAAUGCGUAGAGAUCGUAAGGAAGGCCAGUGGCGAAGGCGAGUUCCUGGACAGUAACUGACGCUGAGGCACGAAGGCCAGGGGAGCAAACGGG